rnacentral:rRNA from 1 species
AAGCUCGUAGUUGAAUUUCGGGAUCAAUGUUUCGGUCAUGCCGUUGGUAUGUACUGAUAUUAUUGAUUUCUCACCUUCUAAAGAACCCGUAAUGCCAUUAAUUUGGUGUCACGGGGAAUUAGGACUGUUACCUUGAAAAAAUUAGAGUGUUUAAAGCAGGCUCACGCUUGAAUACAUUAGCAUGGAAUAAUGAAAUAGGACAUCCGAUUCUAUUUUGUUGGUUUCUAGGAUCGAUGUAAUGAUUAAUAGGGAUAGUUGGG